GUGAGCCGCAUGCGGGGAGACCCGCAUGUACGGUUUUUAGGGGGAUCUGUUUUGUUGUUAUAUUUUGCUACAAUUCAUUCCAGU